UACAGAGGUCCCGAGCGUUGUUCGGAUUCACUGGGCGUAAAGGGUGCGUAGGCGGUUCUGAAAGUCUGGUGUGAAAUCUCCAGGCCCAACCUGGAAACUGCAUUAGAAACUACAGGGCUAGAGGCUUGGAGGGGGAACUGGAAUUCUCGGUGUAGCAGUGAAAUGCGUAGAGAUCGAGAGGAACACCAGUGGCGAAGGCGAGUUCCUGGACAAGUCCUGACGCUGAGGCACGAAAGCCAGGGGGGCAAACAGG
rnacentral:rRNA from 1 species